rnacentral:lncRNA from 1 species
AAAAAGGGCAUUAUGGUCUUUUUGGGUUGGUGGAUAAGCAUGCCACCAACUCCCUCUUGAUAUUUAUCCACUCUACCUGUUGCGAAGGGAUAAUUAUCAUUUUUCUUUUACUCUCAGACUUUGAUCGUGGCUUGGAGAGAUUAUGGCUCCAUUUCGGGUGAUUUUCGACGUCGCGCCGGGGAGCCGUCCGAGCAUACGUGCGUCGCCGUAGUUUAGCGAGGAGGCCGGGCGAGGGAGUGUUUUCGUCGUUCUCGACGCCGUGCCGGAAUUGGAGUCGCUGGUUGAGGUGGGUAAUCUCUCAUUCCUCCAUGGAUUUCUUCUCUACUUCAAGCUUCAUUCAAUUCGAGCUUAAGUGCUGAUUCGCAGGAUCUUGUCGUCGACUGUUAGUAUUUCAGCUCGUACGCGACGUAGGAGCAUCGGAUUUCGACGAGAUU